AUUGAACGCUGGCGGCAGGCCUAACACAUGCAAGUCGAGCGGAUGAAGGGAGCUUGCUCCUGGAUUCAGCGGCGGACGGGUGAGUAAUGCCUAGGAAUCUGCCUGGUAGUGGGGGAUAACGUCCGGAAACGGGCGCUAAUACCGCAUACGUCCUGAGGGAGAAAGAGGGGGAUCCUCGGACCUCAUGCUAUCAGAUGAGCCUAGGUCGGAUUAGCUAGUUGGUGGGGUAAAGGCCUACCAAGGCGACGAUCCGUAACUGGUCUGAGAGGAUGAUCACUCACACUGAAACUAAGACACGGUCCAUAAUCCUACGGGAGGAGACAGUUGGGAAUAUUGGACAAUGGGCGAAAGCCUGAUCCAGCCAUGCCACUUGUGUGAAGAAGGACUCCGGAUUGUAAAGCACUUUAAGUUGGGAGAAAGUGCAGUAAGUUAAUACCUUGCUGUUUUGACGUUACCAACAGAAUAAGCACCGGCUAACUUCGUG
rnacentral:rRNA from 1 species